UUAAAUUAAUAAGGGCGUAUGGUGGAUGCCUAGGCAUUAGAAGACGAAGAAGGACGCGACAAACAGCGAAAUUGCCUCGGGGAGUUGUAAGUAAACAUUGAUCCGGGGGUAUCCGAAUGAGGAAACUUACCAAGAAAGGUAUCCUAAAAUGAAUACAUAGUUUUAGUGAAGGAAACCCUGUGAACUGAAACAUCUUAGUAACAGGAGGAAAAGAAAGAAAAAUCGAUUGCCUUAGUAGUGGCGAGCGAAACGGCAAUAGCCCAAACCAAUCUACGGAUUGGGGUAGUAGGACACUUCGAAACGAGAAUAAGAGCUAAAGAUAGCUAAAUGAUUUGGGAAAGUCAGUCAAAGAAGGUGAAAACCCUGUAGGCGAAAUCUGAAGCACUCAGAAGUGAAUCCUGAGUACGGCGGGACACGAGAAAUCCUGUCGGAAGCAACGGGGACCAUCCCGUAAGGCUAAAUACUCUCUAAUGACCGAUAGUGAACAAGUACCGUGAGGGAAAGGUGAAAAGAACCCCGGGAGGGGAGUGAAAUAGAGAAUCUGAAACCAUAUGCUUACAAAAAGUUCGAGCCCGUUAAAGGGUGAGAGCGUGCCUUUUGCAGAAUGAGCCGGCGAGUUAUGGUAUUGUGCAAGGUUAAGUAGAAAAUACGGAGCCGAAGCGAAAGCGAGUCUUAAAAGGGCGAAAAAGUACAAUGCUGUAGACCCGAAACUGAGUGAUCUAGCCAUGAGCAGGUUGAAGUGUAGGUAACACUACAUGGAGGACCGAACCAGGGUACUAUGUAACGUGCUUGGAUGACUUGUGGUUAGCGGUGAAAUUCCAAUCGAACUCAGAGAUAGCUGGUUCUCCCCGAAAUAGGUUUAGGCCUAGCCUUGAAGAAUUUCCUCUGGAGGUAGAGCACUGAAUGUGGAAUGGCCGCGUCUAGCGGUACUGACUGCAAUCAACCUCCGAAUGCCAGAGUAGUUAGCUUCAGGAGUCAGUUUAUGGGUGAUAACGUCCAUAUGCGAGAGAAAAACAAUUCAGACCACCAGUUAAGGUCCCAAAAUAUAUGUUAAGUGGGAAAGGAUGUGGAGUUGCACGAACAGCUAGGAGGUUGGCUCAGAAGCAGCCAUCCUUUAAAGAGUGCGUAAUAGCUCACUAGUCGAGUGGCUCUGCGCCGAAAAUGUACCGGGGCUAAACAUAUUACCGAAACUGUGGAUUUAUGCGAUAGCAUAAGUGGUAGGGGAGCGUUCUAAGGGCGACGAAGAUAGAUCGAGAGGACUAUUGGAGCGCUUAGAAGUGAGAAUGCCGGUGUGAGUAACGUAAGGUAGGUGAGAAUCCUACCCACUGAUUGACCAAGGAUUCCAGGGUCAAGUUCGUCUACCCUGGGUAAGUCAGGACCUAAGGCGAGGCUGAGAAGCGUAGUCGAUGGACAACAGGUUUAUAUUCCUGUACUAUUUAUAGGACUGAAGGAGUGACAAAGGAAGCUAGUAAGAGCCAUUUAAUGGAUUAUGGUCUAAGCACAAAGACUGAUACAUAGGAAAAUCCGUGAUAUCGAACGGUUGAAGUGUGAUGGCGAAGCAGUCUACGGACAGCGAAGUCUUAUGAGGCUAAACUUUUUAAAAAAGCUUCUAAAGAAAUGCUAUAAAUACCUGUACUAAGAACCAACGCAGGUGGUCAAGGAGAGAAUCCUAAGGUGAGCGAGAGAACUAUGGUUAAGGAACUCGGCACAAUGAUCCCGUAACUUCGGAAUAAGGGAAGGUCUUGAAAAAGACCCGCAGUGAAUAGGCCCAAGCGACUGUUUACCAAAAACACAGGUUUCUGCAAAAGCGUAAGCUGAAGUAUAGGAGCUGACGCCUGCCCAGUGCUGGAAGGUUAAGAUGAUUUGUAAGAUGGACGAAAGUCGAUAACAUCGAAGCAAUGAAUUGAAGCCCCAGUGAACGGCGGCGAUAACUAUAAUCGUCCAAAGGUAGCGAAAUUCCUUGUCAGGUAAGUUCUGACCCGCACGAAAGGCGUAACGAUUUGGGCACUGUCUCAACCAUAGACUCGGUGAAAUCUUAAUACCUGUGAAAAUGCAGGUUACCAGCGACAGGACGGGAAGACCCCAUGGAGCUUUACUGUAGCUUGAUAUUGAAAUCAGGUAGUUAAUGUAGAGGAUAGGUGGUAGACAAUGAAGUUAAGACGCUAGUCUUAAUGGAGUCGACCUUGGAAUACCACCCUUUGACUAUUUGAUUUCUAACUUGCACCCGUAAUCCGGGUGGAGGACAGUGUCUGGUGGGCAGUUUGACUGGGGCGGUCGCCUCCUAAAGAGUAACGGAGGCGCUCAAAGGUUCCCUCAGAAUGGUUGGAAAUCAUUCGACGAGUGUAAAGGUAUAAGGGAGCUUGACUGUGAGACUGACAAGUCGAACAGGUGCGAAAGCAGGACUUAGUGAUCAGGUGGUAUGAGAAUGGAAUUGCCAUCGCUUAACGGAUAAAAGUUACCUCGGGGAUAACAGGCUUAUCUCCCCCAAGAGUUCACAUCGACGGGGAGGUUUGGCACCUCGAUGUCGGCUCGUCACAUCCUGGGGCUGAAGCAGGUCCCAAGGGUUCGGCUGUUCGCCGAUUAAAGUGGCACGCGAGCUGGGUUCAAAACGUCGUGAGACAGUUUGGUCCCUAUCCAUCGUGGGCGUAGGAUAUUUGAGAGGGUUUGUCCUUAGUACGAGAGGACCGGGAUGAACGCACCUACCGUGCAUCUGUUGUCGCGCCAGCGGCAUGGCAGAGUAGCGGAGUGCGGUUGAGAUAAACGCUGAAAGCAUCUAAGCGUGAAACUCGCCUCAAGAUAAGAUAUCCCAUAUCGUAAGGUAGUAAGACCCCUUGCAGACGACAAGGUUGAUAGGUCGGAGAUGAAAGCGCAGUAAUGCGUGCAGUUGACCGAUACUAAUAGGUCGAGGGCUUGAUCUC
rnacentral:rRNA from 1 species